AGGGCGCCAUGCUCCAGCAGGCGGCGCUCUCCUUGUGCUCUGUGUUCCAGCAUUGUGUCAAUAAGAAGUGGUGCUGUGAAGAGAACAAUAGUCAGACUGAAUGUUGAACAUCAGCUGCUUCCUCCUGCUGAUUUAAACCUUGGUGGACAGAUGGAACAUUGGCUGUGGAUUAUUCUGGCUGCUCUUUUCUCUGAGUGUAAAGGAGACUCAGUGAAGCAGACAGAAGGAGAAGUUGUUGCUGCUGCAGGAGAAUCACUGACUCUGAGAUGUACCUAUGAAACCAGUGAUCCAUAUCCAUAUCUGUUCUGGUACAGACAAGAUGAAAACGGUUAUCCAAAGUUCAUGCUGAAGCGAUUCUCAACAGGAGGAGAUAAUGCUCCAGAAUUCAAGAAAGAUAAAUUUGAUGCUCAGCACGAGAAAACCUCGUUUAAUCUGAAGAUCCAGGAUCCGCAGGUUUCAGACUCUGCUGUGUACUACUGCGCUCUGCAGCCCACAGUGACAGGAAACACCAGAACCCUGCACAAAAACCUGCAGUACUCCACAGCAGCCACUAGAGGGCCUCACUCCCUGUUAAACCUUAACAUUCAGGAUCAAGUCUGAUUUUGUAUGUGGGGA